CCUACGGGUGGCAGCAGUAUGGAAUUUUCGUCAAUGGGCGCAAGCCUGAACGAGCAAUGCCGCGUGAACGAGGAAGGUCUUCGGCACGUAAAGUUCUGUUGAAGGGGAAACAGAGCGGAGAGAGGAAAUGCUUUCUGAUUGAUAUUACCCUUCGAGGAAGUCACGGCUAACUACGUGCCAGCAGCCGCGGUAAUACGUAGGUGGCGAGCGUUAUCCGGUUUGAUUGGGCGUAAGGGGUUCGUAGGCGGCCUGCUAAGUCUGGAGUGAAUGGUACCGGCUCAACCGGUACAGGCUCUGGAAACUGGCGGGCUAGAGAGCAGGAGAGGGCGGUGGAACUCCAUGUGUAGCGGUAAAAUGCGUAGAUAUAUGGAAGAACAUCAGUGGCGAAGGCGGCCGCCUAGCCUGUUAACUGACGCUGAGGCACGAAAGCGUGGGGAGCAAAUAGGAUUAGAUACCCUUGUAGAC
rnacentral:rRNA from 1 species